CCGGAGCUUGCUCCGGUGAAAGUGGCGCACGGGUGAGUAACGCGUGGAUAAUCUGCCCUGGUAUCUGGGAUAACAUCUCGAAAGGGGUGCUAAUACCGGAUAAGCCUACGGGAUCCUCGGAUUCUGCAGGAAAAGGUGGCCUCUAUUUAUAAGCUACCGUAUCAGGAUGAGUCCGCGUACCAUUAGCUAGUUGGUGGGGUAAUGGCCCACCAAGGCUACGAUGGUUAGCUGGUCUGAGAGGAUGAUCAGCCACACUGGAACUGAGACACGGUCCAGACUCCUACGGGAGGCAGCAGUGGGGAAUUUUGCGCAAUGGGGGAAACCCUGACGCAGCAACGCCGCGUGAGUGAUGAAGGCUUUCGGGUCGUAAAGCUCUGUCAGAGGGGAAGAAAUGAGACUGGCUAAUAUCCAGUUUUCUUGACGGUACCCUCAAAGGAAGCACCGGCUAACUCCGUGCCAGCAGCCGCGGUAAUAC
rnacentral:rRNA from 1 species